rnacentral:rRNA from 1 species
GACAGAGGUGCCGAGCGUUAGGCGGAAUCACUGGGCUUAAAGCGUGUGUAGGCGGACUUUUAAGUGCCUUGUGAAAUCCCCCGGCUUAACCGGGGAAUGGCUGGGCAGACUGGAAGUCUUGAGUGGCCUAGGGGCAACUGGAACAAACGGUGGAGCGGUGAAAUGCGUAGAUAUCGUUUGGAACGCCGAAGGCGAAAGCAGGUUGCUGGAGGCCAACUGACGCUGAGACACGAAAGCCAGGGGAGCAAACGGG